CCUACGGGGGGCUGCAGUGGGGAAUAUUGGGCAAUGGGCGCAAGCCUGACCCAGCAACGCCGCGUGAAGGAAGAAGGCUUUCGGGUUGUGAACUUCUUUUCUGAGGGACGAAGAAAGUGACGGUACUUCAGGACUAAGCCACUGCUAACUACGUGCCAGCAGCCGCGGUAAUACGUAGGUGGCAAGCGUUAUCCGGAUUUAUUGGUUGUAAAGGGCGUGUAGGCGGGAAAGCAAGUCAGAUGUGAAAACUCAGGGCUCAACCCUGAGCCUGCAUUUGAAACUGUUUGUCUUGAGUGCUGGAGAGGCAAUCGGAAUUCCGUGUGUAGCGGUGAAAUGCGUAGAUAUACGGAGGAACACCAGUGGCGAAGGCGGAUUGCUGGACAGUAACUGACGCUGAGGCGCGAAAGCGUGGGGAGCAAACAGGAUUAGAUACCCUUGUAGUC
rnacentral:rRNA from 1 species